AGAGCUGAGAGCCACCUACUAGCGGCAGGUGGAGCCUCGAGACGGGUGCUGUCGUGGUGAUGGAGGCGCACGCUCGCUUCCCACGCAGUUUGGCCUUUUUGACGUCCCUGGCUGUUGUGGGCAACCGAUUUGGUUGGUCGCGCUGCUUCCUACGCUCGCCGGCGGAGCAGCUAGUGGCACCUGCUCGGAGAGAGGGAGUGGAUCUCUCGGAAGUGCUUGGGGUUUCGCUGAAGCGGACCUGAACAGACCAUGUGUCCUUUAAAUACAGCCAUGCUUUUAGAAACGGACUGUCACUUUAUGUGGACUCAACCAUUGAACAGAAUGUGUGCUUUUGUGAGUGCUGCAAUUCCUUCAAGUGUAAUUGCGCUACUGCAUUUUUGUUGGUCGCAGGGAAGGGGUGUGCCUGCAAAUGUCCGCGUGGUUCGUCCUCAGCCUCUUCCUUUUUACACUGUGCUAGGAUGUUUACUUGCUUGUGGUGGAGGUAGGGGAAGCCAGUAUUUGUGUACUGUGUACUGUCCUGAACCGGCUUUCAUUCCUAACUUUUCAAAGAUUGCUUUAAAGGGGGGGGGGCGCGGGUCAAAUAUUGUUUUAAAGGGGGGGACGG
rnacentral:lncRNA from 1 species